UUUUUAUUUUUUUUCUUUUGAAAAUCUUGACCCAAGAGUAUGUCAGAUCCGCCACAAAUAUAGAAAAUCCACUGUUCACACGGGCAGAGUCUCCCAUAUGUUUGCACGGCGUCGCACAAGAACAAGAUACAACCACAAUAGUAUGAACAUUCACAUACAUUCACCAUUUAUUUCAUCACAGAUAUUUAUAAUUUCACAUCUAUUAGUUUAAAAUAUUUCCUACCCGAAAACUCACUUUGAAAUUGUAAG
rnacentral:lncRNA from 1 species